GGGGGCUCGGAGCCCGGGCUGGAAACUGGGGGCCCGGGCAGGACCGCGGGCUGGGGGCGGGGGGCGCGGUCCGCAGCGCGGCCCCCCUCCGCUGCCUCUGCCGGGCUGCCCGCCCGGUGAGACGCCGCGCCGCCAGGUAGCUUGGAAUUUCAGAGCAACCACGCACCGCGCUCAUUGUGGUUCCGAAACUGACCAGCUCCAGAGCAAAGCUUCACUGCCUGCCCCAUUACAGAAUGAAAAGCCAUUCCUGCAGUGAAGCCCACUGCCUGGCAGAGUCAUGUCCCCACAGAAAGAGCAUCAGGUCUCAUACAUGGGGACAGAUGGUCAGCCAAGGAUCUCCAGACUCAGGAGGAAAGCCUGCAGUGUGAAAGAUGGACCAAACUAAGCAGACCCAGGGAGCAAAAGGAAGCUUUAGAAAGAACUGUAUUUGGGGUGCCUGGCUGGCUCAGUCGGUGGAGCACAUGACUCUUGAUCUUGGGGUGGUGAAUUCCAGCCCCGUGUUGGGUGGGGAGCCUACCUUAGGAAAAGGAAAAAAGAGCUGUAUUUGAUAUUCCCAGAAAAGAUGCUGCUUCCGUGAAAUGAGAAUAGGAUGCCUUGAAUAAUAACAAGCACAAAAUAAUCAGAACAAGAAAGGGCUCUUAGAAAUCAAAAACAUAAGUAAAAAUUCAAGAGCAAAUUGGGAAGAUACAGUUGAAAUCUCCCAGCAGGCAGACACAGACAGAAAAUAAAGAAGCUGGAACUCUGAA